ACAAGUACCGUGAGGGAAAGUUGAAAAGCACUUUGAAGAGAGAGUUAAAGAGGACGUGAAACCGAUAAGAAGGAAACGGAUAGAGUCAACGUAUCUAGCUUGUAUUCAGCUGUUGUCCUAGGCCAAGCAUGCGGUUCCAUUCCCGUCUCGGGAUGGGCCGUAUGUUGACCCCGGCUAUGGAUGGUAGUGCAUUUGCAAGUGGAGUGCGCUGAGACUUGUGGCUGCGGCGGUUGGAUCUCGGUGUUGAGGCCGUGCCACUUCGGUGGUGUGGUACCCACACUGGGGGAAGGCUGUUCGUGCUGCAUGUGGAGAGUGUGGUCUGGCUGGUGGGUGCUGAGUUGGCCAGCGGUGGCGGUCGCAUGCGACACGUGCCGUUGUGUUGAUUCGGUGCUAGCUGGUCUUCCGCGUUCGAUCUCGGUGUAAAAGUUGGUCAUCUAUCCGACCCGUCUUGAAACACGGACCAAGGAGUUUAGCGUAUGCGCGAGUCAUUGAGUGUCGGAAAACUCAAAGGCGUAAUGAAAGUGAACAGCAAUGAGAUAUGCGAUCGAGUACACCUCGGUGUGCACGAGCAGCAUAGCCCCGUCCCGAUCGCUUGCGAUGGGGCGGAGGUAGAGCGUAUUCGCUGAGACCCGAAAGAUGGUGAACUAUUCCUGAGCAGGAUGAAGCCAGAGGAAACUCUGGUGGAAGUCCGAAGCGGUUCUGACGUGCAAAUCGAUCGUCUGACUUGGGUAUAGGGGCGUAAGACUAAUCGAACCGUCUAGUAGCUGGUUCCUUCCGA
rnacentral:rRNA from 1 species